rnacentral:lncRNA from 1 species
UGGACGCAGAAAUCAGAUUCACCCUCCACUGGGGAUUAAGAAACAGUAGAGGUGGAGCCUACUCUGGGCAUUGCGGUUCCUUCUUCCUUCUUCAGAAUGACAGCAGGAGUUGGUGUGAGACAUUUCCUGGAGCCUCACGGAGCUGGCUGGCACAUUUUUGCAGAGAACUCAAAUGAAAGAAUCCACAAGGGAUUGAAGUAAUAUGACAGAUAUGAAAGAGGAUGAAAAACCGUCAGCAGAAUAGCAGCCACUUCCUCAUGUAAUUCCAGAUGGG